rnacentral:rRNA from 1 species
UACGCAGGUUGCGCGCGUUGUCCGGAAUUACUGGGUGUAAAGGGCGUGUAGGCGGGCUAUUAAGUCAGAUGUGAAAUUCCGAGGCUUAACCUCGGCGCUGCAUCUGAAACUGAUGGUCUUGAGUGCUGGAGAGGAAAGUGGAAUUCCUAGUGUAGCGGUGAAAUGCGUAGAUAUUAGGAGGAACGCCAGUGGCGAAGGCGGCUUUCUGGACAGUAACUGACGCUGAUGCGCGAAAGCGUGGGGAGCAAACAGG